rnacentral:rRNA from 1 species
CUUGGUGCCUCCAGCGGCGGGGUCACACCCGAUCCCAUACCGAACUCGGCAGUUAAGCCCGCCAGCGCCGAUGGUAGCGUCCCCUCGGGGGCGUCAGAGUAGGUCGGUGCCAGGA